rnacentral:lncRNA from 1 species
UUUUCAGGAGAAUGUGUUCAUCUGUUUACACGUGUUCAAUUUUAAUUCCAGAGUCCUUCCAGUGAAAAAGAACGUGAAUAUUAUGAAGAAAAGAAGAAAGAGAAAAAACGGGAUAUUUCUUCAGACCGCUCAAGUGUGGAAGUAAAAAAAAGAAAAGGUAACAGUAAACUGAAUGGAGAAUCGGUAGAGCUUCAGUUAUCGAGUUCUAUGAGUAAAGAGGAACACAGGAGACAAGAGAAGCAGUUCAGUAAGCACGACAGCAGUGAGAAGGAAAGAAGCAAAAGAGAAAGUCGUAGUGGAGAGGAUGAGUACCGAGAAAAGGUAAAAGAUAAAGAGAAAGAACGCAUGAAACGAGCAGACAAAGAGAAAGUAUCUAGCAAGAAGCUAAAGAAAUAAUGAUGUCAACUGUUAUUUCUUGCUGUUUACACAAGACAUUGCUGUGAUGUUUCUUGCUUCUGUCUAGUCCCAACUUCGACACAUCUGCAUAACUACACUUGUAGGUUAAUGAGCAGAGAAGAUGGGAAGUGAAGGGAGAAAACAACUUCCCAGCUAAAUGCAGCAGACUUUGGAAGACUUUUGUUUUUUAAAAACAAUAAAAAAAUUAUUUUUUUUUAAUUCUAA